rnacentral:rRNA from 1 species
UACGGGGGGGGCAAGCGUUGUUCGGAAUUACUGGGCGUAAAGGGCUCGUAGGCGGCCAACUAAGUCAGACGUGAAAUCCCUCGGCUUAACCGGGGAACUGCGUCUGAUACUGGAUGGCUUGAGAUUGGGAGAGGGAUGCGGAAUUCCUGGUGUAGCGGUGAAAUGCGCAGAUAUCAGGAGGAACACCGGUGGCGAAGGCGGGACUCUGGGCCGAUACUGACGCUGAGGAGCGAAAGCGUGGGGAGCGAACAGG